UGAGUAACACGUGGGCAAUCUGCCCUGCACUUCGGGAUAAGCCUGGGAAACUGGGUCUAAUACCGGAUAGGACCUUUAGACGCAUGUCUUUUGGUGGAAAGCUUUUGCGGUGUGGGAUGGGCCCGCGGCCUAUCAGCUUGUUGGUGGGGUGAUGGCCUACCAAGGCGACGACGGGUAGCCGGCCUGAGAGGGUGUCCGGCCACACUGGGACUGAGAUACGGCCCAGACUCCUACGGGAGGCAGCAGUGGGGAAUAUUGCACAAUGGGCGCAAGCCUGAUGCAGCGACGCCGCGUGGGGGAUGACGGCCUUCGGGUUGUAAACCUCUUUCACCAUCGACGAAGGUCCGGGUUUUCUCGGAUUGACGGUAGGUGGAGAAGAAGCACCGGCCAACUACGUGCCAGCAGCCGCGGUAAUACGUAGGGUGCGAGCGUUGUCCGGAAUUACUGGGCGUAAAGAGCUCGUAGGUGGUUUGUCGCGUUGUUCGUGAAAUCUCACGGCUUAACUGUGAGCGUGCGGGCGAUACGGGCAGACUAGAGUACUGCAGGGGAGACUGGAAUUCCUGGUGUAGCGGUGGAAUGCGCAGAUAUCAGGAGGAACACCGGUGGCGAAGGCGGGUCUCUGGGCAGUAACUGACGCUGAGGAGCGAAAGCGUGGGGAGCGAACAGGAUUAGAUACCCUGGUAGUCCACGCCGUAAACGGUGGGUACUAGGUGUGGGUUUCCUUCCUUGGGAUCCGUGCCGUAGCUAACGCAUUAAGUACCCCGCCUGGGGGAGUACGGGCCGCAAGGCUAAAACUCAAAAGGAAUUGACGGGGGGCCCGCACAA
rnacentral:rRNA from 1 species